rnacentral:lncRNA from 1 species
UUUUAAUGUCCAACAUUUAUAAUAUGAGGGCUAGUGCUUUCUUGCCAAGUUUAUAAGUUUUCGACUGGCUUGUAAGGUCAAUAGGGAUACUCCUUUUUGUCUAAUUUGGUUUCUGGGAAGACUUCAUUCAGGUCCUCAAUGGUCAUCUGAUCAAAUGGAAUUAUGUUCUUCAUCUUCUCCAGCAUUUUUUCAUAUUCUUCAAUCCUGGCCUUUGAGAGAGACAAAAACUCAGCACAGCGUUUCACAUCUUUUUUUUUCCCUCAGCAUCCACCUGGACAAUGUAUUUAUCCUCUGGCACAGAAACUUUCAACCUUCAAGGCGUUAAACUUCUUAUCAAAGUCAUCUACCAGGCCAGCCUUUGCCACAUUGGCCUUGUAGUAAGCCCAGUCGAUAGCAGGUGGUUUCUCAGGAAGAGUAGCCAACCUGGAGGGACACUGGAGCAAGAUGAUUGGACAAUAAGACUGCAAAUUCUACAUACUGCAAAUGCAAAUGGGGCCCAAAGGAGAGGUGCCAAUAGUGCCCAGAAUGCUGGUGUCCACAGAGCCAUGAAAUGAGCAACUAUCACAGUGCCUCUGAGGAGACCAUGGGCAGCCAUAAGGGAUCCUUAAAGGAGAGGUAUCAAGUUAUCAAAUGGUGGUGACACAAAUUUUGAAGUAUGAUUGGACUGACAUGUGCACACAUACAUAUAUGGCCUUCUAUAGUACAUAAUUAAAAAC